rnacentral:rRNA from 1 species
AACGAACGCUGGCGGCAUGCCUAACACAUGCAAGUCGAACGGGACCUCCGGGUCUAGUUGCUCACGGGGGCGUCACGCGGGGGACCCUUCCCUUAGGUUCCGAAUUCCUCCCCUACAUGGGUGCUAACACCGGAUAAUUUCCUCGGACCCCACAUUUAUCCCCCUUGGAUGGGCACGCGUUGGUUUAGCCAGUUGGGAUGGUAAAAGCCUACCAAGGCGACGAUCCAUAGCUGGUCUGAGGCGAAGAUCAGCCACGCUGGGCCUGAGGCACGGGCGGGACUCCUACGGGAGGCAGCGGUGGGGAAUAUUGGACAAUGGGCGUAAGCCAAGACCAGCAAUGCCGCGUAAGGGAUGAAUGCUUUAAGAUUGUAAAGCUCUUUUAACCCGGAGGUUAAUGACCGUACCGGGAAAAUAAGCUACGGCUAACUCCGUG